AUUGAACGCUGGCGGCAGGCCUAACACAUGCAAGUCGAACGGUAACAGAGAGCAGCUUGCUGCUUUGCUGAGGAGUGGGGGAGAGGUGAGUAAUGUCUGGGGAACUGCCCGAUGGAGGGGGGUAUCUAAUGGGAAAGGUUGCUCAUACCGCAUAUCGUCCCAAGGCCAAAGAGCGGGGGCUUCUGGCCCCUUGCGAUAGGGUAUGAGCCGAUGGGAUUAGCUUGUUGGUGGGGUGACGGCUCACCAAGGCGACAAUCCCUAGCUGGUCUGAGAGGAUGACCAGCCACACUGGAACUGAGACACGGUCCAGACUCCUACGGGAGGCAGCAGUGGGGAAUAUUGCACGAUGGGCGCAAGCCUGAUGCAGCCAUGCCGCGUGUAUGAAGAAGGCCUUCGGGUUGUAAAGUACUUUCGGCGGGAAGGAAGGGAGGCAAGUUAAUACCUUUGCUCAUUGACGUUACCCGCAGAAUAAGCACCGGCUAACUCCGUG
rnacentral:rRNA from 1 species